CCUACGGGGAGCAGCAGUGAGGAAUAUUGGUCAAUGGACGAGAGUCUGAACCAGCCAAGUAGCGUGAAGGAUGACUGCCCUAUGGGUUGUAAACUUCUUUUAUAAAGGAAUAAAACGAGGCACGUGUGCCUUUUUGCAUGUACUUUAUGAAUAAGGAUCGGCUAACUCCGUGCCAGCAGCCGCGGUAAUACGGAGGAUCCGAGCGUUAUCCGGCUGUAUUGGGUUUAAAGGGAGCGUAGAUGGGUUGUUAAGUCAGUUGUGAAAGUUUGCGGCUCAACCGUAAAAUUGCAAUUGAUACUGGCAGUCUUGAGUACAGUUGAGGUAGGCGGAAUUCGUGGUGUAGCGGUGAAAUGCUUAGAUAUCACGAAGAACCCCGAUUGCGAAGGCAGCUUACUAAACUGUGACUGACAUUGAUGCUCGAAAGUGUGGGUAUCAAACAGGAUUAGAUACCCGGGUAGUC
rnacentral:rRNA from 1 species